AGUGAACGCUGGCGGUAGGCCUAACACAUGCAAGUCGAACGGCAGCACAGGAGAGCUUGCUCUCUGGGUGGCGAGUGGCGGACGGGUGAGGAAUACAUCGGAAUCUACUUUUUCGUGGGGGAUAACGUAGGGAAACUUACGCUAAUACCGCAUACGACCUACGGGUGAAAGCAGGGGACCUUCGGGCCUUGCGCGAUUGAAUGAGUCGAUGUCGGAUUAGCUAGUUGGCGGGUAAAGGCCCACCAAGGCGACGAUCCGUAGCUGGUCUGAGAGGAUGAUCAGCCACACUGGAACUGAGACACGGUCCAGACUCCUACGGGAGGCAGCAGUGGGGAAUAUUGGACAAUGGGCGCAAGCCUGAUCCAGCCAUACCGCGUGGGUGAAGAAGGCCUUCGGGUUGUAAAGCCCUUUUGUUGGGAAAGAAAUCCAGCUGGCUAAUACCCGGUUGGGAUGACGGUACCCAAAGAAUAAGCACCGGCUAACUUCGUGCCAGCCGCCGCGGUAA
rnacentral:rRNA from 1 species